GAUGAACGCUAGCAACAGGCCUAACACAUGCAAGUCGAGGGGCAGCACAUGAGUAGCAAUACGAUGGUGGCGACCGGCGCACGGGUGAGUAACACGUAUGCAACCUGCCUGUAAGAGGGGAAUAGCCUCUCGAAAGAGAGAUUAAUACCGCAUAAUACCGAGAGACUGCAUGGCUUUUCGGUUAAACAUUUAUGACUUACGGAUGGGCAUGCGUAUGAUUAGCUAGUUGGUGAGGUAACGGCUCACCAAGGCAACGAUCAUUAGGGGUUCUGAGAGGAAGGUCCCCCACACUGGUACUGAGGCACGGACCAGACUCCUACGGGAGGCAGCAGUGAGGAAUAUUGGUCAAUGGGCGAGAGCCUGAACCAGCCAAGUCGCGUGAAGGAAGAAGGUUCUAUGGAUUGUAAACUUCUUUUGUAAGGGAAUAAAAAGAGUUACGUGUAACUUAUUGUAUGUACUUUACGAAUAAGGAUCGGCUAACUCCGUGCCAGCCGCCGCAGUAAAAC
rnacentral:rRNA from 1 species